rnacentral:rRNA from 1 species
UGAGGAAUAUUGGUCAAUGGGCGUAAGCCUGACCCAGCCAUCCCGCGUGAAGGAAGAAGGCGCUAUGCGUCGUAAACUUCUUUUCCAGAGGAAGAAAACCCCGACAAGUCGGGGCUUGCCGGUACUCUGGGAAUAAGCAUCGGCUAACUCCGUGCCAGCAGCCGCGGUAAUACGGAGGAUGCAAGCGUUGUCCGGAAUCACUGGGCUUAAAGCGCGUGUAGGCGGCUUAGAAAGUGUCGUGUGAAAUCCCGCGGCUCAACCGCUGAACUGCACGGCAAACUACUUGGCUUGAGGUCGGUAGAGGUGCCUCGAACUCUAGGUGGAGCGGUGAAAUGCGUAGAUAUCUAGAGGAACGGCAGAAGCGAAAGGGGGGAACUGGGCAGCUUCUGACGCUGAGACGCGGAAGCGUGGGGAGCAAACA